rnacentral:rRNA from 1 species
CCUACGGGUGGCUGCAGUGGGGAAUAUUGCACAAUGGGCGCAAGCCUGAUGCAGCCAUGCCGCGUGUGUGAAGAAGGCCUUCGGGUUGUAAAGCACUUUCAGCGGGGAGGAAGGCGUUAAGGUUAAUAACCUUGGCGAUUGACGUUACCCGCAGAAGAAGCACCGGCUAACUCCGUGCCAGCAGCCGCGGUAAUACGGAGGGUGCAAGCGUUAAUCGGAAUUACUGGGCGUAAAGCGCACGCAGGCGGUCUGUCAAGUCGGAUGUGAAAUCCCCGGGCUCAACCUGGGAACUGCAUUCGAAACUGGCAGGCUAGAGUCUUGUAGAGGGGGGUAGAAUUCCAGGUGUAGCGGUGAAAUGCGUAGAGAUCUGGAGGAAAACCGGUGGCGAAGGCGGCCCCCGGGACAAAGACUGACGCUCAGGUGCGAAAGCGUGGGGAGCAACCAGGAUUAGAUACCUUGUAGUC